GACGAACGCUGGCGGCGUGCUUAACACAUGCAAGUCGAACGGAAAGGCCCUGCUUUUGUGGGGUGCUCGAGUGGCGAACGGGUGAGUAACACGUGAGUAACCUGCCCUUGACUUUGGGAUAACUUCAGGAAACUGGGGCUAAUACCGGAUAGGAGCUCCUGCUGCAUGGUGGGGGUUGGAAAGUUUCGGCGGUUGGGGAUGGACUCGCGGCUUAUCAGCUUGUUGGUGGGGUAGUGGCUUACCAAGGCUUUGACGGGUAGCCGGCCUGAGAGGGUGACCGGCAACAUUGGGACUGGGAUACGGCCCAGACUCCUACGGGGGGCAGCGGUGGGGAAUAUUGCACAAUGGGCGGAAGCCUGAUGCAGCAACGCCGCGUGCGGGAUGACGGCCUUCGGGUUGUAAACCGCUUUCGCCUGCGACGAAGCGUGAGUGACGGUAAUGGGUAAAGAAGCACCGGCUACCUACGU
rnacentral:rRNA from 1 species